rfam:Moraxella macacae 0408225 chrom_contig1, whole genome shotgun sequence.
GCUGACGAUUAUAGCUUGUUGGUACCACCUGAUCCCUUCUCGAACUCAGAAGUGAAACAACAAUACGCCGAUGGUAGUGUGGUUUUCCCAUGUGAGAGUAGGUAAUCGUCAGCU